rnacentral:rRNA from 1 species
AAUGGCCGAAAGGCUGAACCAGCAACGCCGCGUGAGGGAUGAAGGUCUAAGGAUUGUAAACCUCUGUUAGGAGGGACGAAUUGUUCCGUAACGAACUUACGGGAUUUGACGGUACCUCCAGAGAAAGCCCCGGCUAACUCCGUGCCAGCAGCCGCGGUAAUACGGGGGGGGCAAGCGUUGUCCGGAAUUAUUGGGUGUAAAGGGUGCGUAGGCGGAAUGGUAAGUCAGAAGUGAAAUACUCGCGCUUAACGCGGGUUCUGCUUUUGAUACUGCUGUUCUUGAGUGCAGAAAAGGGAAGUAGAAUUCUCGGUGUAGCGGUGAAAUGCGUAGAUAUCGAGAAGAAUACCAGUAGCGAAGGCGGCUUCCUGGUCUGUAACUGACGCUGAGGCACGAAAGUGUGGGUAGCAAA